GAUUUCUUCGGAUUGAAAUUUUAGUGACUGAGUGGCGGACGGGUGAGUAACGCGUGGGCAACCUGCCUCACACAGGGGGAUAACAGUUGGAAACGGCUGCUAAUACCGCAUAAGCGCACAGUACCGCAUGGUACAGUGUGAAAAACUCCGGUGGUGUGAGAUGGACCCGCGUCUGAUUAGCUAGUUGGCAGGGCAACGGCCUACCAAGGCGACGAUCAGUAGCCGACCUGAGAGGGUGACCGGCCACAUUGGGACUGAGACACGGCCCAAACUCCUACGGGAGGCAGCAGUGGGGAAUAUUGCACAAUGGGGGAAACCCUGAUGCAGCGACGCCGCGUGAGCGAAGAAGUAUUUCGGUAUGUAAAGCUCUAUCAGCAGGGAAGAAGAAAUGACGGUACCUGACUAAGAAGCACCGGCUAAGUACGUGCCAGCAGCCGCGGUAAUACGUAUGGUGCAAGCGUUAUCCGGAUUUACUGGGUGCAAAGGGAGCGUAGGCGGCACGCCAAGCCAGAUGUGAAAGCCCGAGGCUUAACCUCGCGGAUUGCAUUUGGAACUGGCGAGCUAGAGUACAGGAGAGGAAAGCGGAAUUCCUAGUGUAGCGGUGAAAUGCGUAGAUAUUAGGAAGAACACCAGUGGCGAAGGCGGCUUUCUGGACUGAAACUGACGCUGAGGCUCGAAAGCGUGGGGAGCAAACAGGAUUAGAUACCCUGGUAGUCCACGCCGUAAACGAUGAG
rnacentral:rRNA from 1 species